GAAAAUAUCUUCUUCUUCUCGAUUAGAGUGCCGUUGUUCAAUAUCAAAUAUGGCGUGCAACGAAGGCGAAAAUCAAAAGGAAAACAAAGAUUCGCUCGUUGCAAGGCAUAUGCUGGAUAAAGCAGUAGAAUACCACCAGUAAUUUUGGCAGUACUACGUACAGAUGCAACCGACAACGGGACCAAUAGCACGUGCCAAAGCCCCCAAUGAACGGAAAAUGCCAAGGACUGAACC